AUGUUGGUUAUUUAUUUUUAUUUUUGAAAAAAUGGCUUUUUUAUUUGCCAUUGUCAGUGUUGUGUACAGAAAUUGUGAUUUAUUAGGGAAUGAAAGUAAUUAGAUAUUGACAUUGAACAAGUGUCAACAGGGAGGUCAUCAAAGGCUGAAUUCUUUUCACAAGAUUGUCACUAUCAUUUUGUCAUUUUUAAGUACAAAUGGUGAGAUCGAGUUUUCAUGACUAGACUUGCUGUUUAGGCGCUGAUUAGGAACCCCCAAUUGAGAUCAAAAUGGGUAAGUGGUGUUAUGCGCCUGAGCUCUACGGUGGUUGUUGAUGGUUUUGCUGUAAGGCAGAAGUGGUUGCAGGAAGCUUACAGAUGCAAGUUUGGAGAAAGUUGCGGAUGUUACUAACAAGUAAAUUUAACAGCAUGAACUUAUUAUAUAAAAUACAGAAGUUUGAGGGGAGCUAAAUGUUGAAGCUCCCCAAUAAUAGUAAUAAGCAACUCGUCCAUUUGAUUCAUCAACUUCUAAACAAAUUAGGUUGCUGCUGCUCUCUCCAGCUACCAGAAAGGCCAAGUAUUCUUCUUCAAUUUGUGGCUUUUA
rnacentral:lncRNA from 1 species